rnacentral:rRNA from 1 species
UGGGGAAUAUUGGACAAUGGGCGCAAGCCUGAUCCAGCCAUGCCGCGUGUGUGAAGAAGGCCUUUUGGUUGUAAAGCACUUUAAGCGAGGAGGAGGCUACUUGGAUUAAUACUCUAGGAAAGUGGACGUUACUCGCAGAAUAAGCACCGGCUAACUCUGUGCCAGCAGCCGCGGUAAUACAGAGGGUGCGAGCGUUAAUCGGAUUUACUGGGCGUAAAGCGUGCGUAGGCGGCUUUUUAAGUCGGAUGUGAAAUCCCUGAGCUUAACUUAGGAAUUGCAUUCGAUACUGGGAAGCUAGAGUAUGGGAGAGGAUGGUAGAAUUCCAGGUGUAGCGGUGAAAUGCGUAGAGAUCUGGAGGAAUACCGAUGGCGAAGGCAGCCAUCUGGCCUAAUACUGACGCUGAGGUACGAAAGCAUGGGGAGCAAACAGG